ACAACAAUGCACAUGUAGUUCCGACAAUGAAUAUUUUAGCUGUAUCUCUUGAGGGCCAGGCACAUGAAGCAUGCUGUGAAAUGAGUUUGAAUUUAAAUAUUGCCAAAAUUUAUAUAAACCACUCCAAUGAUAAUUACAAAUACCUAAAAAACUAAACAUUUAAGCAGAUAUUUACUUAUUCCUAGUGUUAAAGUUUUGGUUUCAUUUCUACCUAAAUGAUGUAGGACCAGAUCUUGACACAGCAAACCUUGGCAGGUGACUGGGACGGGUGCUCCCUGAUGUUGAGCCAUCGACAAACUUCACUUUGCGGCUCGUGCUAUUCCUCCACUAUCAGUGUCAUAUGGUUGAUCCUGGCCGUGAGCUGGUGAUGCCUUAAAAUAAACCAAAUCAGCAACAAUUGACUGAGGAGUUGAAUCUGAUUUGCAUGCCUCUACUCUCGUGGGUGCUUGGUAGUGCAUACACAAAUUAGGCACACCACCUGUUUGACAAUAUGCCUCAAUAUGCAGACCAAAAAAUUAGAGGCUUCCUUGCAUUGAAACUGGGUGAAUGCUCAUAAAAGUUAGACAACUUGUGAGCUGCUGUUGCAGAGAAGAUAUAGACAGAUAUAUAUAUAUAUAUAUAGCACGUUAUUCUAAGAGAGGUUGUCCUGCAAAGCGGUGGAAUUUAUCUUUCAAACAUGUGGCUCUUGCAUGUUCUAUGCCUUCUACCUCAUACAGAUUCCAGAUGCUGAGAAUUGGUUGGACCUCCAAUUUGGACAAACCGUGUUUUCAUGUGCUUUGUAUCAGAUGUUAAGAUGUGGAGGAUCCUAUAUAUAUGGCUCUUGCUUCUACCGUUGGUGUCAUCUACAACAAACAAAAUACCUCAGGAAUAGCCAUGUAGUUGCAAUUGUCAUGCCGCAAUUCGUUAUGUACAUAAUUUUGGAACCUUUUGGGAUGCUACCUUCUAGUUUGAUGAAGGGAUUCUGAAUUAUUUCUCCUCCGGUAGUGAUUGAAGAUGCAAAGCAAUGAAGAAAGGCUACCUAUGGAUAAAGUGGAGUAAGUAUGGAAAGAUGAACAAUUUAUUUCCUUUUGCUCAUUGAGAUGUGAAGUAAUUCAAUUUAGAAAGAUUGACUAGAGUAAGUUUGCAGCAUCCUUGGUGGUAAUGGAAUCACUGUUGAACCCACUCUUAUGCUGUGUUUGGUUG